rnacentral:tRNA from 1 species
ACUAAAAUGCCUGAGUAAAGGGUUAAUUUGAUAGAUUAAAUUAUGAUUUAUAUAU